GGAUCAUCCAAUUUGCGCGGCUGUUCAAAAAUCAUGUUGGCUUUGAUUGCGACCCAUAUCUGGAUCUUCAUGAGAUAGGUAUGAAACUCUACUGUGAAACUAUGGAGGACACUGUUACAGGUGAAGAAGCACAAGAGCUUUUUGGAAUUGCUGCAGCUAAGUUCCAAGAGAUGGCAGCUUUGUCUUUAUUUAAUUGGGGAAAUGUUCAUAUG
rnacentral:misc_RNA from 1 species